rnacentral:pre_miRNA from 1 species
CAAAUACUCCCUCCGUUCGAAAUUACUUGUCACAAAAGUGGAUGUAUCUACAACUAAAAUACAUCUAGAUACAUUCAUUUUUUGAACGAGUAAUUCUGAACGGAGGGAGCAGGAC